UCUCCGUUGGUGAACCAGCGGAGGGAUCAUUACCGAGUUUACAACUCCCAAACCCAAUGUGAACAUACCUCUCGUUGCUUCGGCGGGAACGCCCCGGCUCUGCCCGGAACCAGGCCCCCGCCGCAAGACCUUAAACUCUGUUUUAUUAUAGUUGUUUACUCUGAGUAGCUUCUAAAGCAAAGAAAUAAAUCAAAACUUUCAACAACGGAUCUCUUGGUUCUGGCAUCGAUGAAGAACGCAGC
rnacentral:misc_RNA from 1 species